AAAAAAUUAUAAAUAAAAAGUAGAUAGUUGAACAUACAUCAUCAACUUCAUAUAUGACAAUAAGAAGUGCUAAAAGGGAAAAUUGGUACAGGAAAGCAGUUUAAUAUCAAGAAUGGCAAAAUAAAGCAAAUACGAGUUGGUUAGCAUUACAUUACUUGAGCUUAGUAUGUCAAAAACGAGUCCUUAAUAAAAGCUUGACAUUCUUCUAUACUACAGUCUACAAGUAUUAUUCAGGGGAUCGAUCUUAAGCAAGCUUUUUCAGGAUUCAACAAGCUUCAAUUUCUAUAUACCAACCUGAUGUUUAAGAGUAUAGCUCUGGUUAAGAUAAUAAAUUUAUUUAAGAGCUUAAGAACGCGUCCAGCUAGCGCACUUCAUUAACGAACCUAUCUUGAUAAGAACUUAUCAUAAUGAAUUUCAUUGUACUUGGUGGAUUUGCAACUCCAUAGGUUGAUUCUUAGGGAGCAACCCCCAAUGCAUGGAAAGAAGAACGUUUCACCUUGCCCCCCACGGGAAUAGCGAAGUGAUAAAGUAAGAGGGUUCUCUACGGAGUAUCAGAGGUUCCUCAACCCAGUCCUAUCAUAAACCUAUUUGGAGAAGCUACAAGGAUGUACUCUUCUUCUACCUUACCCCACAAACAACUAUUCCAUAGUCAAACCACAGAGACCCGAAUCCUUUCUAAUUGAUUCUUUCCUCUAGGUGUACCAUCAAUGCUAGUUCAAAGAUGCUAUCCAGGACAUCCAGUGACCUUCUUUUACCAUGUCUAAACCAUUUAUAUAUGUUUCCCCAAAAUUUACAAUAAGUCUGCACUAUCAAGCCCAAAUCAGAAAUAUGCUCUUUUUUAUUUUUAUUUUUUUUGGGUCUAUUUUUCUUUGAUCAUAUGUAGUUGCCACCUAAACCAAAAACAUUAUAAUGCACCUCAAGAGAGAUUCUUCCUUCAUU
rnacentral:lncRNA from 1 species